rnacentral:misc_RNA from 1 species
UACCUCUCAACCCCGCUUUCUUUAUUGGGAGCUGUUUAGGGUUUGGAUCGUGCUGCGUGUGGUUAAGUCCACUGCGGUGAAAUACAACAAGCUGGAUCCCUGAUCUUGCGGCUUGACCCGUUGUUAUAAACUUGAAAAUCAAUGGGAACGCAAAUCGAGGAAUGGGCUUACCAUAAAUCAUUUUACAAGUGCA